ACUACGGGUGCCCAGGACCAAACAGUCAGCAGUAAACUACGGGACCUAAGGGACUUCCACCUACACCACCAGGGAGACCCACGUGGCAACAGGACACCUUAGACGCUUGAACCUCGCCCUACUGGACCACGGCCCAAACAACAUCCCAGCUCCAGCUGGUUGAAGCCCAGGCUUAAGCCAUCAAACCAUCUACGGGACCAAGGAGACCUCCACCUACUAAACACCAGGACCAGGUUGGAGGGCUCCCUCUCCACCAUCCCGGAACUAUUGGAUGAAGUAGAGUUUCCACCACUACCAGUCAGCAGUGUUGCUGAUCCCCGAAUUGGCACAAUGGAACAGCGAGGAGCCCCGGUAACCACAACGGGAGGGUCACCAAACAUGAUGAGCGGGCAAUUAAAGGCUAACAAUGCCAUUGAAACCACAUCUGAGACCUCCCUACCACUCCUCCUCGGAAGUCCAUCUCCCACUGGUGCCAUUCGGGGAUCCAGCACACCUCCACUCCCCGACGAUAGCCCCGCAGGACCCUCCUCCACUUCCUCCCCAUUCAGCUUACCACUACACAUCUCGA